rnacentral:rRNA from 1 species
UACGUAGGUGGCGAACGUUGUCCGGAUUUACUGGGCGUAAAGCGCGCGCAGGCGGACCGAUAAGUCAGAGGUGAAAUCUCCCGGCUCAACUGGGAGGGGCCCUUUGAUACUGUCGGUCUUGAGAUGCCUAGAGGAGAGUGGAAUUCCCGGUGUAGUGGUGGAAUGCGUAGAUAUCGGGAGGAACACCAGUGGCGAAGGCGGCUCACUGGCCCGGAACUGACGCUGAGACGCGAAAGCGUGGGAGGCA